AAAGUUUGAGCCAAUUCGUAGCUUGUUAUGAGGACUUUUUUAAAUUAUGGAUUCCAAAAAUUGGCUUGAAAAUCACCCAAUUUUUAAUUACAUUAUUCAAUACAUUUUGAUACCCUUAUGCUAUUGUAAAAAAGUUUGACAAUUCAUUAAUAUUUGUAAUAUGGUAUUUUGAACAGGAAAAGGAACUCUCGUAGAAGAAGAGUAAAAUACGCCAUCUUAGAUCACAACAGAGAAGAAGGAGUUCAAUCAAGAAUGUUUGCUAAAGAUAAAAGCAGUCUAAUUAGUAAGACCAUUGUGGUAUUAAUAUUUUGGACCAUGGACUAUGAUGGGGUGAAGGCCUGGUAUUGUUAAAGAUUUUGAUCAUUUGCUCAAAUGCAAUUAUUUGUUUGCACCAUCAUUUAAGUUUAGUUAUUUUACAUCAUGUAUGCAAACUAUGCAUUCUGUUGUCUCUUAUAAACAAAA